GACGAACGCUGGCGGCGUGCUUAACACAUGCAAGUCGAACGGAAAGGCCCUGCUUUUGUGGGGUGCUCGAGUGGCGAACGGGUGAGUAACACGUGAGUAACCUGCCCUUGACUUUGGGAUAACUUCGGGAAACUGGGGCUAAUACCGGAUAGGAGCUCCUGCUGCAUGGUGGGGGUUGGAAAGUUUCGGCGGUUGGGGAUGGACUCGCGGCUUAUCAGCUUGUUGGUGGGGUAGUGGCUUACCAAGGCUUUGACGGGUAGCCGGCCUGAGAGGGUGACCGGCCACAUUGGGACUGAGAUACGGCCCAGACUCCUACGGGAGGCAGCAGUGGGGAAUAUUGCACAAUGGGCGGAAGCCUGAUGCGGCAACGCCGCGUGCGGGAUGACGGCCUUCGGGUUGUAAACCGCUUUCGCCUGUGACGAAGCGUGAGUGACGGUAAUGGGUAAAGAAGCACCGGCUAACUACGUG
rnacentral:rRNA from 1 species